rnacentral:misc_RNA from 1 species
CCAAACGCCGGCCAGACCUUAGGGAUCGAAACCGGCACCGUGCCGAGGCGAACAAUCCGUUGCUCACCUCUGGCGCAACAGCUGCCUAAUCUGUGGUGGAAAAGGCAGCAACCCAAGGCAUCCGUGCCUUGAAAGCGCGGUAAAGGGAGGCGGUUUAGCAUGUGGUGUGCCCGCCGACCUCUAUCGCGACC